rnacentral:rRNA from 1 species
UAUAAGAGACAGCAGUCGCCGCGGUAAUACAGAGGGUGCGAGCGUUAAUCGGAUUUACUGGGCGUAAAGCGUGCGUAGGCGGCUUUUUAAGUCGGAUGUGAAAUCCCUGAGCUUAACUUAGGAAUUGCAUUCGAUACUGGGAAGCUAGAGUAUGGGAGAGGAUGGUAGAAUUCCAGGUGUAGCGGUGAAAUGCGUAGAGAUCUGGAGGAAUACCGAUGGCGAAGGCAGCCAUCUGGCCUAAUACUGACGCUGAGGUACGAAAGCAUGGGGAGCAAACAGGAUUAGAUACCCCGUGUAGUCCCUGUCUCUUAUU